rnacentral:rRNA from 1 species
GGGGAGUUGAAAAUAAGCAUAAAUCCGGAGAUUCCCGAAUAGGUCAACCUUUCGAACUGCUGCUGAAUCCAUGGGCAGGCAAGAGACAACCUGGCGAACUGAAACAUCUUAGUAGCCAGAGGAAAAGAAAGCAAAAGCGAUUCCGUAAGUAGCGGCGAGCGAAAGCGGAUCAUCUUGCGUAUCGACACGAGCGGCCUGGAAAGGCCGACCAUAGAAGGUGAUAGUCCUGUAGUGUCGUGUGUAAGAGUGUCCUAGAGUAGCGUAGAGCUCGUGAAACUCUGCGUGAACAUGGGGGGACCACCCUCCAAGGCGAAAUACUACUUAACGACCGAUAGUCAACCAGUAGGGCGACUGAAAGAUGAAAAGUUCCCCGAUAAGGGAAGUGAAAUAGUAUCUGAAACCAUGUACUUACAAGCGGUCGGAGCCGUUCUUCGGAACGGUGACGGCGUGCCUUUUGCAUAAUGAGCCGGCGAGUUGUUCUCUGUAGCAAGCUUAAGUCGUACCCCGACGUAGGCGUAGUGAAAGCGAGGGUUAACUGCCCGUCAAGUUGCAGGGAGCAGACGCGAAACCAGGUGAUCUACCCAUGGCCAGGUUGAAGGGACA